rnacentral:rRNA from 1 species
UACGUAGGGGCCGAGCGUUGUCCGGAGUUAUUGGGCGUAAAGCGCGCGCAGGCGGCCUCGCGCGCCCGACGUGAAAGCCCCCGGCUUAACCGGGGAGGGUCGUUGGGGACGGCGGGGCUUGAGGGCGGGAGAGGGCGGUGGAAUUCCCGGUGUAGCGGUGAAAUGCGCAGAUAUCGGGAGGAACACCAAUUGCGAAGGCAGCCCGCUGGGACGUUACUGACGCUGAGACGCGAAAGCGUGGGGAGCAAACAGG